UACGUAGGGUGCAAGCGUUGUCCGGAAUUAUUGGGCGUAAAGAGCUCGUAGGCGGUUUGUUGCGUCGGCUGUGAAAUCCCGAGGCUCAACCUCGGGUCUGCAGUCGAUACGAGCAAACUAGAGUGUUGCAGGGGAGACUGGAAUUCCUGGUGUAGCGGUGAAAUUCGUAGAUAUUUGGAGGAAUACCGGUGGCGAAGGCGGCCUUCUGGACCAUUCUUGACGCUGAGACGCGAAAGCGUGGGUAGCAAACAGG
rnacentral:rRNA from 1 species